rnacentral:tRNA from 1 species
GGGCCUGUAGCUCAGGUGGUUAGAGCGCUUGCCUGAUAAGCAAGAGGUCACAAGUUCAAGUCUUGUCAGGCCCA